rnacentral:rRNA from 1 species
UACGUAGGGACCGAGCGUUGUCCGGAAUCAUUGGGCGUAAAGAGCGUGUAGGCGGCCAAUUAAGUCCUGCGUGAAAUCUCGGGGCUCAACCCCGAGCGGUCGUGGGAAACUGGUUGGCUAGAGUGCGGGAGAGGAGAGUGGAAUUCCUGGUGUAGCGGUGAAAUGCGCAGAUAUCAGGAAGAACACCCGUGGACGAAGGCGGCUCUCUGGAACGCAACUGGACGCUGAGACGCGAAAGCGUGGGGAGCAAACAGG